GAGACAACAGAGAAUAAGAUGGUUGAAUGGCAUCACCGACUCGAUGGACAUGAGUUAAAUAUAUAGAAUUCAUAUAAUGACAAUGACAGUCUACCUCUGUGAACUUCUUUCUCAAAUGAAUAACACCAGUAUAAUCAUGAUAACAAUACCAGAUCAAUUACAACUGGCAGACAUUCCACAAAGUACCUGACCAGUGUGUGUCAAAACUGUGAAAGUCAACAAAAACAAGAAAAAUCUGAGAAAUUGUCGCAGAGCAGAGGAGUCUAAGGAGACAUGAUAGCUAAAUGUAAUGUCAUGUCCUGAAGAGGAUCCUGGAACAGAAAAAGAUAUUAGGUUAAAAAGUAAGGAAACCUGAAUAAAAGGUGGUGCUUAGUCAAUAAUAAUGAUGUAUCAGUACUCUUCUCUUAAUUGUAACAAACGUGUUCUCCUAGGUAAGAUGUUGAUUGCAGGGGAAUUACGUGAUGUGCAGGGUAUAUUGGAACACUUGGUUCUCUGUUUACGAUUUCUCUGUAUAUUUCAAAUAGUUGUGAAAAAUCAAGUUUAUUUGAAAAUUAUUAUAAGGACUAUCUCAGAAUAUCAUUUUGUAACUAUUUGGUCACUAGUCUCUGUAAGUGAAGUGAUUAAAAUUUGAAUAUACAUAAAUUUUGUUGGGAAAAAUA